GUACAAGGCAUCAAACAACUAAAGGAAGCCGCAAACAGCACUGAAAGAAUUCAGCACCCAGUCUGCACCAAGCGUCACCCCUUCCACAGCUCUGCAGAGCAGUCCCCGUUCUGGUGCUUCUUCAUGUGGCGGCUGAAGACGAAAGGGGCUCUACGGGGAGCUUUGCCCACGACUGGCAGUAGAGCUCACACGUUCCUAUGCAAACAUGGACUCACUCUGAAGGAGCAUCCUUUCAAUCUUCUGGCUUACCUUGAUGGGGAAGCUUCUGCAAAGCAGGCCGAGAACUGCAGAGUGGGUGACUGAUUCACAGACAAAGUUACAGAACACACAUUCAAAGCCUGGAAACCAAACAGGAAAAGGCAUUCUUUAUGCUGUGGCCAGAUGGACUGCAUCAAAGGAGUGCUUCAGUUGGAAACAGUCAAGGAAAACAAAAGAAGAAUUUCAGCAGAACAUGGGAUGAAUACAAGCAAUCAGCGUGGGGAGCCUUCAAGGAAGUGACAAAGUCGCACGCCGUGCAGCAAAUGGAGAACAUCCACUGCUCCUUGUCCGCGUGGAGGGACAUGUGACUGACGAACUGGGCGUUCAGCUCCGUCUCAAACCCACACA